UACGUAGGGGGCAAGCGUUAUCCGGAUUUACUGGGCGUAAAGGGUGCGUAGGCGGUCUUACAAGUCAGGAGUGAAAGGCUACGGCUCAACCGUAGUAAGCUCUUGAAACUGUUAGACUUGAGUGCAGGAGAGGAGAGUGGAAUUCCUAGUGUAGCGGUGAAAUGCGUAGAUAUUAGGAGGAACACCAGUUGCGAAGGCGGCUCUCUGGACUGUAACUGACGCUGAGGCACGAAAGCGUGGGGAGCAAACAGG
rnacentral:rRNA from 1 species